rnacentral:rRNA from 1 species
CCUACGGGGAGCAGCAGUGGGGAAUAUUGGACAAUGGGCGAAAGCCUGAUCCAGCCAUGCCGCGUGUGUGAAGAAGGCCUUCGGGUUGUAAAGCACUUUCAGUGGGGAAGAAAGCCUUGGGGCUAAUACCCUCGAGGAAGGACAUCACCCACAGAAGAAGCACCGGCUAACUCCGUGCCAGCAGCCGCGGUAAUACGGAGGGUGCGAGCGUUAAUCGGAAUUACUGGGCGUAAAGCGCGCGUAGGCGGUCUGAUAAGCCGGUUGUGAAAGCCCCGGGCUCAACCUGGGAACGGCAUCCGGAACUGUCAAGCUAGAGUGCAGGAGAGGAAGGUAGAAUUCCCGGUGUAGCGGUGAAAUGCGUAGAGAUCGGGAGGAAUACCAGUGGCGAAGGCGGCCUUCUGGACUGACACUGACGCUGAGGUGCGAAAGCGUGGGUAGCAAACAGGAUUAGAUACCCCAGUAGUC